rnacentral:tRNA from 1 species
GGAGAGGUGGCAGAGCGGUCAAAUGCGCUGUCUUGGAAAGGCAGAGUCGGCAACGGCACCAGGGUUCGAAUCCCUGUCUCUCCGCCA